GGGCGUAAAGAGCUCGUAGGUGGUUCGUUACGUCUGAUGUGAAAAUCCGGGGCUCAACCCUGGACCUGCAUUGGAUACGGGCGAUCUAGAGUGUGGUAGGGGAGAUGGGAAUUCCUGGUGUAGCGGUGGAAUGCGCAGAUAUCAGGAGGAACACCAAUGGCGAAGGCAGGUCUCUGGGCCGUUACUGACACUGAGGAGCGAAAGCGUGGGGAGCGAACAGGAUUAGAUACCCUGGUAGUCCACGCCGUAAACGGUGGGCGCUAGUUGUGGGAACCUUCCACGGUUUCUGCGACGCAACUAACGCAUUAAGUGCCCCGCCUGGGGAGUACGAUCGCAAGAUUAAAACUCAAAGGAAUUGACGGGGCCCCGCACAAGCAGCGGAACAUGCGGCUUAAUUCGACGCAACGCGAAAAACCUUACCAAGGCUUGACAUAUACCGGAAUAUGGCAGAGAUGUCAUAGCUGUAAAAGGUCGGUAUACAGGUGGUGCAUGGUUGUCGUCAGCUCGUGUCGUGAGAUGUUGGGUUAAGUCCCGCAACGAGCGCAACCCUCGUUCAGUGUUGCCAGCAUUUAGUUGGGGACUCACAGGAGACUGCCGGGGUCAACUCGGAGGAAGGUAAU
rnacentral:rRNA from 1 species